rnacentral:rRNA from 1 species
GUUGACCUCGGAUCAGGUAGGAAUACCCGCUGAACUUAAGCAUAUCAAUAAGCGGAGGAAAAGAAACCAACAGGGAUUGCCCCAGUAACGGCGAGUGAAGCGGCAACAGCUCAAAUUUGAAAUCUGGUCCCCAGGGCCCGAGUUGUAAUUUGUAGAGGAUGCUUUGGGCGCGGUGCCUUCCGAGUUCCCUGGAACGGGACGCCAUAGAGGGUGAGAGCCCCGUCUGGUCGGAUGCCUAGCCUCUGUAAAGCUCCUUCGACGAGUCGAGUAGUUUGGGAAUGCUGCUCAAAAUGGGAGGUAUAUGUCUUCUAAAGCUAAAUAUUGGCCAGAGACCGAUAGCGCACAAGUAGAGUGAUCGAAAGAUGAAAAGCACUUUGAAAAGAGGGUUAAAAAGUACGUGAAAUUGUUGAAAGGGAAGCGCCUAUGACCAGACUUGGGCCCGGUGAAUCAUCCAGCGUUCUCGCUGGUGCACUUUGCCGGGCACAGGCCAGCAUCAGUUCGGCGCGGGGGACAAAGGCUCUGGGAAUGUGGCUCCCCCGGGAGUGUUAUAGCCCACUGCGUAAUGCCCUGCGCCGGACUGAGGUACGCGCAUCGCAAGGAUGCUGGCGUAAUGGUCAUCAGCGACCCGUCUUGAAACACGGACCAAGGAGUCGUCUUCGUAUGCGAGUGUUCGGGUGUCAAACCCCUACGCGUAAUGAAAGUGAACGCAGGUGAGAGCUUCGGCGCAUCAUCGACCGAUCCUGAUGUUCUCGGAUGGAUUUGAGUAAGAGCAUACGGGGCCGGACCCGAAAGAAGGUGAACUAUGCCUGUGUAGGGUGAAGCCAGAGGAAACUCUGGUGGAGGCUCGCAGCGGUUCUGACGUGCGAAUCGAUCGUCAAACAUGGGCAUGGGGGCGAAAGACUAAUCGAACCUUCUAGUAGCUGGUUUCCGCCGAAGUUUCCCUCAGGAUAGCAGUGUUGAA